rnacentral:rRNA from 1 species
CACGUAGGCGGAUUGGAAAGUUAGAGGUGAAAUCCCAGGGCUCAACCCUGGAACUGCCUUUAAAACUAUCAGUCUAGAGGUCGAGAGAGGUGAGUGGAAUUCCGAGUGUAGAGGUGAAAUUCGUAGAUAUUCAGAGGAACACCAGUGGCGAAGGCGGCUCACUGGCUCGAUACUGACGCUGAGGUGCGAAAGUGUGGGGAGCAAACAGGAUUAGAUACCCUGGUAGUCC